rnacentral:tRNA from 1 species
GCACCCGUAGCUCAGCUGGAUAGAGCGCUGCCCUCCGAAGGCAGAGGCCACAGGUUCGACUCCUGUCGGGUGCACCA